GCAGAAGUUCGCACCUGGACAGGUUUACAACACGCAAAAUUAGACGCCUAAAACAUGACGCCAUCAUGUGAAAGGCGAUUCAAGGAAGUGUCAAUGCGAAAAUCACUGAGAGUGGAACUCAAGACAGACUGACUGACCUGAUCCCCUUGCUCCACACUGCCUUGUUGAGGCGAGUGUCGAUGCGGACAUCAGGAGUUCCCAUCUCCUUCAUGGCGAACUUGCGGAUCUCGUUGAUGGCACGGGGAGCCCUCUUCUUGAAACCC